AUGUUAGAAGGUGCUAAAUCAAUAGGUGUCGAAGCUGCUACAAUUGCUUUAGCCGGAGCUGCUGUCGGUAUUGGAAACGUCCUCAGUUCUUUGAUUCAUUCCGUGGCGCGAAAUCCAUCAUUGGCUAAACAAUCAUUUGGUUAUGCCAUUUUGGGCUUUGCUCUCACCGAAGCUAUUGCAUUGUUUGCCCCAAUGAUGGCCUUUCUGAUCUCAUUUGUUUUCCGAUCGCAUAAAAAGUCAUGA
rnacentral:rRNA from 1 species